rnacentral:rRNA from 1 species
GACGAACGCUGGCGGCGUGCCUAAUACAUGCAAGUCGAGCGCAGGAAGCUGACGGAACUCUUCGGAGGGAAGGCAGUGGAAUGAGCGGCGGACGGGUGAGUAACACGUAAGGAACCUGCCUCAAGGAUUGGGAUAACUCCGAGAAAUCGGAGCUAAUACCGGAUAGUUCAACGGACCGCAUGGUCCGCUGAUGAAAGGCGCUUCGGCGUCACCUUGAGAUGGCCUUGCGGUGCAUUAGCUAGUUGGGGGGGUAACGGCCUACCAAGGCGACGAGGCAUAGCCGACCUGGGAGGGUGAUCGGCCACACGGGGACUGAGACACGGCCCAGACUCCUACGGGAGGCAGCAGUAGGGAAUCUUCCACAAUGGACGAAAGUCUGAUGGAGCAACGCCGCGUGAGUGAUGAAGGUUUUCGGAUCGUAAAACUCUGUUGUAAGGGAAGAACACGUACGAGAGGGAAUGCUCGUACCUUGACGGUACCUUACGAGAAAGCCACGGCUAACUACGUGCCAGCCGCCGCGGUAA